GGUUUACGGCGUUGUCACAGCCAAAUACUAUUUAUAACAGUCUUUCUAAAAGUUGUGGCAGUUGUAUAAUGUUUGUCCCAACCUUUUUAUAGUUGGGACAGUUGAAAUUUGUUUGUGUCAACUUUUCAGACGUUUAAGCAGUCAAAAAAUGUUUGUUACAAUGUUUUUAGAGUUGUAACAGUCGUAAAAUGUUUGUUACAACUUUUUAAAGGUUGUUACAGUCAUUAAAUGUUCAUUACAACUUUUAAAAGGUUGCCACAGUCGUAAAAUGUUUAAAACAAACAUUUCAUGGGUUGUUACAGUCGGUAAAUAUGUAAUACAAAUAUUUUAGUGUGACGGUUGCGAAUGUUAAAACAAUGUGUACACGUCUAAGGUGCACCUUCUCAAAGUUUGAUACAGGAUAAAUGGAUAAAUGUAUUUUAUUUAAGUGUCACGUAUUGGUGAUACAGUUGUGAAAUUACCCAUAAUUUAUAUGAUCCCUCAUCUUAUGUUGUUGUUGGGUUUUUUUUAAAUUUUUUUGCGAUCGUUCUAUGUCUUUUGUCGUAUUCCGUUUAUGGCAUUAUAAUUAUGUCUGUUCAUUUGUGGCGGACUUGUGCGUUUGACGGUUUAUCUUUAUUUUUUAUUCAGUCUAUUCAAGAGUCUUUUAUAACUUGUUUUAUACCAAAAGCCUUCGUUUAAAAAUAGAAUUAAAAUAUUAUUGCAGAAGAUUGAUUUAAUUGUCUUAAUUUCAAAUUGCUACGUCGGGGUACCUGAAGUAAAUUUAAA
rnacentral:lncRNA from 1 species